GAGAGUAUAGCUCAGUGGUAGAGUGUGUGCUUAGCAUGCAAGAGGUUUUAGGUUCAAUCCCUAGUACGUCCA
rnacentral:tRNA from 1 species